rnacentral:rRNA from 1 species
UACGGAGGGGGCUAGCGUUGUUCGGAAUUACUGGGCGUAAAGGGCUCGUAGGUUGCCAACUAAGUCAGACGUGAAAUCCCUCAGCUUAACUGGGGAACUGCGUCUGAUACUGGAUGGCUUGAGUUUGGGAGAGGGAUGCGGAAUUCCAGGUGUAGCGGUGAAAUGCGUAGAUAUCUGGAGGAACACCGGUGGCGAAGGCGGCAUCCUGGACCGAUACUGACGCUGAGGAGCGAAAGCCAGGGGAGCAAACGGG